CAAACCGACACAGGUGGGUGAGGAGAGUAUCCUAAGGCCAGCGAGAGAACUGUUGUUAAGGAACUCGGCAAAAUGACCCCGUAACUUAGGGAUAAGGGGGGCCACCAUCAGGUGGCCGCAGAGAAUAGGCCCAAGCGACUGUUUACCAAAAACAUAGGUUUCUGCUAAGCCGCAAGACGAUGUAUAGGAGCUGACGCCUGCCCGGUGCUGGAAGGUUAAGGGGAUCUGUUAGAGCAAU
rnacentral:rRNA from 1 species